rnacentral:rRNA from 1 species
UAGCGGUGAAAUGCGUAGAGAUUAGGAAGAACACCAGUGGCGAAGGCGAUUCUCUGGACCGUAACUGACGCUGAGGCACGAAAGCGUGGGUAGCAAACAGGAUUAGAUACCCUGGUAGUCCACGCCGUAAACGAUGAGUACUAGGUGUAGGAGGUAUCGACCCCUUCUGUGCCGCAGUAAACACAAUAAGUACUCCGCCUGGGAAGUACGAUCGCAAGAUUAAAACUCAAAGGAAUUGACGGGGGCCCGCACAAGCAGCGGAGCAUGUGGUUUAAUUCGAAGCAACGCGAAGAACCUUACCUGGACUUGACAUACCCUGAAUAUCUUAGAGAUAAGAGAAGCCCUUCGGGGCAGGGAUACAGGUGGUGCAUGGUUGUCGUCAGCUCGUGUCGUGAGAUGUUAGGUUAAGUCCUGCAACGAGCGCAACCCCUGUUGUUAGUUGCUAACAUUUAGUUGAGCACUCUAGCAAGACUGCCGCGGUUAACGCGGAGGAAGGUGGGGAUGACGUCAAAUCAUCAUGCCCCUUAUGUCCAGGGCAACACACGUGCUACAAUGGGCAGUACAGAGAGAAGCAAGACCGCAAGGCGGAGCAAACCUCAAAAACUGCCCCCAGUUCGGAUUGCAGGCUGAAACUCGCCUACAUGAAGUUGGAGUUGCUAGUAAUCGCGAAUCAGAAUGUCGCGGUGAAUACGUUCCCGGGCCUUGUACACACCGCCCGUCACACCAUGAGAGCUGGCAACACCCGAAGUCCGUAGUCUAACUUAGGAGGACGCGGCCGAAGGUGGGGUUAGUAAUUGGGGUGAAGUCGUAACAAGGUAGCCGUAGGAG